rnacentral:lncRNA from 1 species
AAAAAAAAAACUCAAAAUCUGACCUUUAUCUAAGAUCCAAACAUAUACCCGCAUGAGUUUGACUCAAAAUUCAAAUGGUGGACCUGCAUGGAAGAAAGGAAAGAGAAUCUACUUGAGUCCCACCAUCCCUAAAAUUUCUAAACAUUUGAAUCAUGGCUUAGAGCAAAAUUAAAAAUAAUUGCUACAAGUCUUAUCCAGCAUUAUCUAUAAACUCAAAUUAAGAACUUGGAAAUUAAAAUUUAGGUUUAAGUUUAACACUGAAAUAUGCAUGAUGAUUAUAUUCUUUGGAGAUGAUACAAGCCUGUAAACUAUAACGAAGCCUUUUCAUCACUACACAUGCAGCUCUGACAGCAAAUGGAGAGAUGCGACUGCAUAGUUAGCAUCGUACCGAUAUUACUUAGCGGGUUUGCUUUAUAGACUAGCUAGGAGCCUAGCUAGGAGGCGUGGCUAUCCAUACGAGAAAAUAACUAGCACAAGCGCAAAGUUAUAACUGAACUGACCGCUGCUGUGGGAGUGAGCAACUCUGCUACCAAAGAUUAAAGCAGCUCUUUUUCGAUCAUGCAUCAGCACAGCUUUAAUUUGAUCAAAAGAAUGAUCUGGACUGAUCACCUACCACUGCUUCACAACACAUGAGGAUCGACCAAAAAUAUUCAUCUCUAGAUAUAGAUAUACAUAUGUGUGUGUAUCACUCUCUCUCUCUCUCUCUAUGCCGACAAAGAAAGUAAUAAAAUUUGAAACGAGGUUUAGUCUAGCCAAGACUGCAUGCUGAGAUUAGGAUGAGAGAAUUUAAUUCACUUUAGUAACAGGCAGAAAACAACUACUGAACUGUUAAACCUGUAAAGUAAUUUGUUCUAAAAGGAAAAUGUACCGGUAGUUUUAAGCAUUUACGUUUGUUUUUGCUUUACAAUAAGCUUCUAACAUUGGUUGCACCUCUGACGCGAUUUUUUAACGGACAAGAAUUCUAACUCUAGAGUUAUUCAAACAACCAACAACCUUUUAGUGAAAUUUUUCUUCAUAAAAUUAGCAAAAGUCCCGAAUUUGAAUCUACCAUACUGCAUAGUUAAUGAUCAAAAUUAAGGGGUUAACAAUUACUAGUGUGGUCGUGUGGUCGGUUCUUGGUAGGCUAAGAUUGCAAUGUUAUAAGAAUUGAACAACAAAGUUUAAGUGGUUCACUCCUCAAAACUGGGUUACGUCCACUGAGUCACUCAUAUUUUUUUACCGAAAACUUACCGAUAGCGUUCGGCAUAGACCAGUCUCCUUUUUCUAUUUUUUUCUGACCCUUCUAAGGAGUACUCCUCCUCCUUAUAUAGGCCCUCAAUGAGCCCCAAGUCCUUGGGCUAGAGUCUUCCACCACCUUUGCAUGUAAUGUGAUGAAUACGUAGACUUGACCUGCUAGCUUCCCCUUCGUCCUUUAGUCCACACAUGGCGAUGAAGUGACAUUAGCUCA